rnacentral:rRNA from 1 species
AACGAACGCUGGCGGCAGGCUUAACACAUGCAAGUCGAACGGUGUAGCAAUACACAGUGGCAGACGGGUGAGGAACACGUGGGAACAUCCCUUUCGGUUCGGAAUAACGUUGGGAAACUAACGCUAAUACCGGAUACGUCCUUCGGGAGAAAGAUUUAUUGCCGAGAGAUUGGCCCGCGUCUGAUUAGCUAGUUGGUGAGGUAACGGCUCACCAAGGCUACGAUCAGUAGCUGAUCUGAGAGGAUGAUCAGCCACAUUGGGACUGAGACACGGCCCAGACUCCUACGGGAGGCAGCAGUGGGGAAUAUUGGACAAUGGGCGCAAGCUUGAUCCAGCCAUGCCGCGUGAGUGAUGAAGGCCUUCGGGUUGUAAAGCUCUUUUAUCCGGGAAGAUAAUGACUGUACCGGAAGAAUAAGCCCCGGCAAACUUCGUGCCAGCCGCCGCGGUAA